rnacentral:rRNA from 1 species
UACAGAGGUCUCAAGCGUUGUUCGGAUUCAUUGGGCGUAAAGGGUGUGUAGGUGGCGCCGUAAGUCGGGUGUGAAAUUUCGAGGCUUAACCUCGAAACUGCAUUCGAUACUGCGGUGCUUGAGGACUGGAGAGGAGAUUGGAAUUCAUGGUGUAGCAGUGAAAUGCGUAGAGAUCAUGAGGAAGACCAGUGGCGAAGGCGGGUCUCUGGACAGUUCCUGACACUGAGACACGAAGGCCAGGGGAGCAAACGGG